GCUAUACAUGCAGUCGAGCGAGCUUGCCUAGAUGAAUUUGGUGCUUGCACCAAAUGAAACUAGAUACAAGCGAGCGGCGGACGGGUGAGUAACACGUGGGUAACCUGCCCAAGAGACUGGGAUAACACCUGGAAACAGAUGCUAAUACCGGAUAACAACACUAGACGCAUGUCUAGAGUUUAAAAGAUGGUUCUGCUAUCACUCUUGGAUGGACCUGCGGUGCAUUAGCUAGUUGGUAAGGUAACGGCUUACCAAGGCAAUGAUGCAUAGCCGAGUUGAGAGACUGAUCGGCCACAUUGGGACUGAGACACGGCCCAAACUCCUACGGGAGGCAGCAGUAGGGAAUCUUCCACAAUGGACGCAAGUCUGAUGGAGCAACGCCGCGUGAGUGAAGAAGGGUUUCGGCUCGUAAAGCUCUGUUGGUAGUGAAGAAAGAUAGAGGUAGUAACUGGCCUUUAUUUGACGGUAAUUACUUAGAAAGUCACGGCUAACUACGUGCCAGCAGCCGCCCGUAAA
rnacentral:rRNA from 1 species